CCUACGGGUGGCAGCAGUGGGGAAUAUUGGACAAUGGGGGGAACCCUGAUCCAGCGACGCCGCGUGAGUGAAGAAGUAUUUCGGUAUGUAAAGCUCUAUCAGCAGGGAAGAAAAUGACGGUACCUGACUAAGAAGCCCCGGCUAACUACGUGCCAGCAGCCGCGGUACUACGUAGGGGGCAAGCGUUAUCCGGAUUUACUGGGUGUAAAGGGAGCGUAGACGGUGCAGCAAGUCUGAUGUGAAAGGUCGGGGCCCAACCCCGGGACUGCAUUGGAAACUGUUGAACUGGAGUACAGGAGAGGUAAACGGAAGUUCUAGUGUAGCGGUGAAAUGCGUAGAUAUUAGGAAGAACACCGGAGGCGAAGGCGGUUUACUGGACUGCAACUGACACUGAGGCUCGAAAGCGUGGGGAGCAAACAGGAUUAGAUACCCUGGUAGUC
rnacentral:rRNA from 1 species